UACCAUCCUAGAGUUCCAUUUCCGGGAAUUCUGUUUAUGACAUGAAAGUGAAUCGAGAAGCUUGCAGCCGUGAACGAGUAAUCCGAGUUUUUAAGCAAGGAAUUAUUCAUUUUUCUCAUAUCUCACACCCACGGCAUUCUCUCUCUCAAACAUGCAAAUAAACCCUCGCUCUUUCGUCCCUAAUGAAGAUUCUGCAACAAACAAAACGCGCAAACUCGCAGAAAAAGCCUCAUAGGAACCCUAAGAACACAGCAAAACUGCAAGGCGUUGCUUGCACGAUCUCUCUCCCGCCCUGAAAGCUAAAGGGUAAACAAAAAGAAAGUAGAGAUGGAAAAGGUGGGUUCUCUUUUAUUCUUAGGCUUUCUUAAUGCAACAGUAUUAUUAGUUAUUGAUUAGUCCGUGUUCAAUUCUGUUUUUUGUUAAUGCUUUUCCUUCGAGUUGUGGUAAAGCAGAUGUAUAAAUAAAGGAUGUAAGAGUCUGAAAGAAGAAGGGAAAGAAAAGGCACGCAUGUUUCUUCACUUCGUUUUCCCUCUUAUUAAACGUGGGAUUCAAGAGACGUUCAUUCUGGUGAAUAAAUUACGGGUUAUGGGAUUCUAUGAAAUGGGUUUUUUGCAAGAUUGGAUUUUGUUAGUGAUUGCCUCUGUUGGUCGAUUUUUGCUUGGUUUUCACAGAAUCGUCUCCUUAUAUAUUUUGUGUGGGGUCAUCUUCGAUUGGUGAUUUCUUAAUCAAGAUGUUGGGGGGGAUAGAUUAAAAGGUUCGAUAUCAAUCUGGUUUUCUUUCUUGUUCUGUUUUUUAUGAUAUUUUUUUGCUAAUAAAAUUAGAUACCUUUAGGAAGUUGAUUGUUAAUUGGUAAAGAAAUUUGGGCGAGAUUAGAUAUGGUGAUUGUUUAUAAUUUUUAGAUUCGGAGUUUUUGAAGUGACCAAGAAAUGUCAGCAAUAUGAAUUGAUAUAUCUGAAUUUAGCCUUUUGUUGUCAAAUUGUUAAGCUUAAUUAGAAGUUUAAUUUCUUUCACUUCUAUUGAAUAACAAUGGGAGUGACCAGUUUUCUUCGCCAAUCAUUUCAUUUUCAAGCUCUCUUUUUCUUGCUUUUGUAGAUUCAUGAACGGUUUAGGGUGGGGUGGAGGAUUGCUUGAGAUGAACGAGUGCAAUGAAUUACUAGUUUGAUUUUGUUUGUUUGAAAUUGAAGGCAGUGUAUAUAUUGUUUUACUGUUGUUUAAUCUCCACCUGUUUUUGUCUUUGUAAAGCCCUGCAUUUGUAUUUUGUUAUAUAAUUCUUCAGUGGCACCAUAUAGUGGAAGCAAUUCUCUAAAGCAAACUUCAUGAUGUAUCCACUUUUGCAUCUCUUCAAAUUCUAUAUAGGCGUAACAAUUGCAAAUUUCAAGCCAGUGCCUUGUUUCUCCAUACUGCAGUUUUGCACUUUUGAACUUUGGCUCCUGGGAGGGGAUGAGGUACAUUAUGGUCAUUAGUAUCAUUGCUUCUAUUGAACCGAACAACUAAUUAUAGGAAAUGCGUGAUGGAAAUGGACUGUUUUACUUUCAAAUUGAGUUCCUUCCAGAGAUAUAUUUUUACUUGACGUAAUUUCUUCUUAAACUAAAUUGACAGUUUAAUUAGUGUCGUCUGUGGUUAAUAUUUAACUUUUGUUUUCAGAUUUUGGGUUUUACAAGUUCUUCUCAAUUUCCAUUUUGAUGGCUGAAGGAAGCAUCAGUACGAUGGUGACUCCAGAAAAAGAUAAAUUUGACAAGAGAAACAUGGGCAAAAUUUCUUCAGGAAAAUCAAGUUCUCCAAAUAAUAGAGGCAAUAUUUAUUCCCCGCGCCGUAAAGCAUCCCUAGGAGCAUACCAUGCUAGAGAAAGUAUGAGAAGAAAUUCUAUAGAGAAACUAGAUUCUG
rnacentral:lncRNA from 1 species